rnacentral:rRNA from 1 species
UACGUAGGUGGCGAGCGUUGUCCGGAUUUACUGGGCGUAAAGAGCGCGCAGGCGGUCGUUCAAGUCGCGUGUGAAAGCCCCCGGCUCAACUGGGGAGGGUCACGCGAUACUGAUCGACUCGAAGGCAGGAGAGGGAAGUGGAAUUCCCGGUGUAGUGGUGAAAUGCGUAGAUAUCGGGGAGGAACACCAGUGGCGAAGGCGGCUUUCUGGUCUGCUCUUGACGCUGAGGUGCGAAAGCGUGGGGAGCAAACAGG